AAGUCGUAACAAGGUUUCCGUAGGUGAACCUGCGGAAGGAUCAUUAACACAUUGUCCAUUUGAUGAUAGUGAUUGUCUUUUAUAUUCUGAGUGUCAUAAUUCGGAUUAAGCAGUCCUAUCAUUCAAACCACUUAGCGAAUGAGUUGAAGUCCUCAUUAUUAAUUAACUUUAAUAAUUUAGUGGAAUAAAACUAUGUAAUCACGUUUAAUGAAUUUAUUCAUUCGACUAAUGUUUACUCAAAAAAAACAAAAUAUAACCAAGACAACUUGUAACAGUGGAUACCUUGGUUCCCAG
rnacentral:misc_RNA from 1 species